rnacentral:misc_RNA from 1 species
GAUGAAGAACGUAGCGAAAUGCGAUAAGUAAUGUGAAUUGCAGAGUUCAGUGAAUCAUCGAAUCUUUGAACGCACAUUGCGCCCGUCAGUAUUCUGACGGGCAUGCCUGUCCGAGCGUCAUUUCAACCCUCAAGCACUGCUUGGCGUUGGCGGAUUGCGUGCUCUCGCGGCGCUGCAACCGCCCAAAUACAGUGGCGGUCCCGCUGCGGCUCCCUUUGCGUAGUAACUCACCUCGCACUGGACCGGGCGGCGGCCUGCCGUAAAACCCCAACUCACGAAAUGUUGACCUCGGAUCAGGUAGGAAUACCCGCUGAACUUAAGCAUAUCAAUAAGCGGAGGA